UACGAAGGGGGCUAGCGUUGUUCGGAUUUACUGGGCGUAAAGCGCACGUAGGCGGAUAGUUAAGUGAGAGGUGAAAUCCCGAGGCUCAACCUCGGAACUGCCUUUCAUACUGGCUAUCUAGAGUCCGGAAGAGGUGAGUGGAACUCCUAGUGUAGAGGUGGAAUUCGUAGAUAUUAGGAAGAACACCAGUGGCGAAGGCGGCUCACUGGUCCGGUACUGACGCUGAGGUGCGAAAGCGUGGGGAGCAAACAGG
rnacentral:rRNA from 1 species